rnacentral:ncRNA from 1 species
AAACACCCGUGAAAAACGCCCUCUAACCCACCCGGGAGCAAGGAGCUGAUAUCAGGCACACUAAGUUGCCCAACACAUCUAGCCAUGCCACGCCCACAAGGGUACUCAGCAGUGAUUAACAUUAAAAAUAAACGCCAGUUUGAUUUAGCCAAUGAAAACAGGGCUGGCCAAUGCCGGUGCCAGCCCCCGCGGACACACCAGAGGCCCAAGUUGAUCCUACAACGGCGUAAAGCGUGAUUAGAAAGACAUUUUUACUGAGGUUAAACUUAAACUAAGCCGUGGAAAGCUUGUUUCAAGGAAGUACACCCCGAAAGGAACCCCAAUUCACCCAUUCGAACUCACGACAGUUAGGAAACAAACUGAGAUUAGAUACCCCACUAUGCCUAACCGUAAAUCUUAAUUAACCCCCCCCCCCGCCAGGAAACUACGAGCAAAGCUUAAAACCCAAAGGACUUGACGGUACUCCACAUCCCUAUAGAGGAGCCUGUACUACAACCGAUAACCCGCGUUAACCCAACCAUUUUUUGCCUUUCAGCCUGUAUACUUCCGUCGUCAGCUCACCGCGUGAACGAAACUCAGUAGGCUUAAUAGCCACCACCAACACGUCAGGUCAAAGUGCAGCAAAUAAAAUGGCCAGAGAUUGGCUACACUUUCUACCUUAGAAGAAACAGAAGAUUUAAUGAAAUUACAUCAGAAGGUGGAUUUAGAAGUAAGAAAAGAUUAAAAGUGCUUUUCUUAAUAUGGCACUGGAGUAUGUACACACCGCCCGUCACCCUCUUCAACAAAUCACCCAAGUUCAUAACAACCCUACCACACUAGAAGAGGCAAGUCGUAACAUGGUAAGUAUACCGGAAGGUGUACUUGGAAU